CACGUAGGGUGCGAGCGUUGUCCGGAAUUAUUGGGCGUAAAGAGCUCGUAGGCGGUUUGUCGCGUCUGCCGUGAAAGUCCGGGGCUCAACUCCGGAUCUGCGGUGGGUACGGGCAGACUAGAGUGAUGUAGGGGAGACUGGAAUUCCUGGUGUAGCGGUGAAAUGCGCAGAUAUCAGGAGGAACACCGAUGGCGAAGGCAGGUCUCUGGGCCACUACUGACGCCGAGAAGCGAAAGCGUGGGGAGCGAACAGG
rnacentral:rRNA from 1 species